AUACGUAGGUGACAAGCGUUAUCCGGAUUUACUGGGCGUAAAGGGCGUGUAGGCGGUCUUGCAAGUCAGAAGUGAAAUUCCUGAGCUCAACUCGGGCGCUGCUUCUGAAACUGCAGGACUUGAGUGCUGGAGGGGCUAGCGGAAUUCCUCGUGGAGCGGGAAAAUGCGCAGAUAUUAGGAAGAACACCGGUGGCGAAGGCGGCUAUCUGGACAGUAACUGACGCUGAGGCGCGAAAGCGUGGGGAGCAAACAGGAUUAGAUACCCUGGUAGUCCACGCUGUAAACGAUGAUUACUAGGUGUGGGGGGACUGACCCCUUCCGUGCCGCAGUUAACACAAUAAGUAAUCCACCUGGGGAGUACGGCCGCAAGGUUGAAACUCAAAUGAAUUGGCGGGG
rnacentral:rRNA from 1 species